CCGACCGCGACCCCAGGUCAGGCGGGACUACCCGCUGAACUUAAGCAUAUCAAUAAGCGGAGGA
rnacentral:rRNA from 1 species